rnacentral:rRNA from 1 species
CAGUCGCCGCGGUAAUACGAAGGGUGCAAGCGUUAAUCGGAAUUACUGGGCGUAAAGCGUGCGUAGGCGGUUUGUUAAGUCUGUUGUGAAAUCCCCGGGCUCAACCUGGGAAUGGCAAUGGAUACUGGCAAGCUAGAGUGUGUCAGAGGAUGGUGGAAUUCCCGGUGUAGCGGUGAAAUGCGUAGAGAUCGGGAGGAACAUCAGUGGCGAAGGCGGCCAUCUGGGACAACACUGACGCUGAGGCACGAAGGCGUGGGGAGCAAACAGGAUUAGAUACCCCUGUAGUCCCUGUCUCUUAUAC